rnacentral:ribozyme from 14 species
UUAUUUCCUCCGCCUUUUUUCUUCAUUCUUUUUCAUCAUUCUCCUCAUGUGCGUGCUUCUUCUUCUCAUGGUAUGGUUGUCCUCAACAAUAUCUUAUACUUUGACUAGGAUAGAAUAUCCGGAAGCAACGUCGUUGCUUUUUUCUAUCUUCUUCUGUCGUCUGUUGUUGUUCUAAUGAGUCUUAUUAUAAAGUAGAAGUAAGUAAAUUUAUUUUCUUCUAUUUCUC